rnacentral:rRNA from 1 species
UACGAAGGGGGCUAGCGUUGCUCGGAAUCACUGGGCGUAAAGCGCACGUAGGCGGGUCGUUAAGUCAGAGGUGAAAUCCUGGAGCUCAACUCCAGAACUGCCUUUGAUACUGGCGACCUAGAGUUCGAGAGAGGUUGGUGGAACUCCGAGUGUAGAGGUGAAAUUCGUAGAUAUUCGGAAGAACACCAGUGGCGAAGGCGGCCAACUGGCUCGAUACUGACGCUGAGGUGCGAAAGCGUGGGGAGCAAACAGG